UACGGGGGGGGCAAGCGUUGUUCGGAAUUACUGGGCGUAAAGGGCUCGUAGGCGGCCAACUAAGUCAGACGUGAAAUCCCUCAGCUUAACUGGGGAACUGCGUCUGAUACUGGAUGGCUUGAGUUUGGGAGAGGGAUGCGGAAUUCCAGGUGUAGCGGUGAAAUGCGUAGAUAUCUGGAGGAACACCGGUGGCGAAGGCGGCAUCCUGGACCAACACUGACACUGAUGAGCGAAAGCCAGGGGAGCAAACGGG
rnacentral:rRNA from 1 species